rnacentral:piRNA from 1 species
UUCUUUUAACUGCAGCCCAGCUAACGUGC